ensembl:lncRNA
AGCAUAGCGACAGAGAUAUUCCCCACAAGACUACUGCUCGUUGGACUGACUGAGUCUGAGUCGUUGGGUGGCCAAGGUGGAGAGGGAGAAGCGACUGAGACCCUUUGAGAAUUUCCAACAGCUCCUCAUAUUUACGUUGUCUUCAACUCCGACCCGACCAGCGGUCUUCAGCAUCGCUCUCUCUGCAACUACAGUUCACUUUAUCCCGCACGCCUCCUGUCCUUGCGCGAAGAAAUCAGAAGCUCCCCAACCGACUGCCGACGUGGACGUGGGGGAGACUCGGUCCUCGGAAAGGAUGCUUUUUUUUAGACAGUGAGGCCUGGCUGACAUGACAGAGAGGGAUGGAGAGAGCGAGAGAAGGAUGGAGAGAGAGAGAGAGAGAGAGAGCGCAGGUGCCAAACGACACGAUUAG